CCUACGGGUGGCACCAGUGAGGAAUUUUGCGCAAUGGGGGAAACCCUGACGCAGCAACGCCGCGUGAGUGAAGAAGGCCCUCGGGUCGUAAAGCUCUGUCAAGUGGGAAGAACCCUUCCGUGGUUAACAGCCACAGGAAGCUGACGGUACCACUGAAGGAAGCACCGGCUAACUCCGUGCCAGCAGCCGCGGUAAUACGGAGGGUGCAAGCGUUAUUCGGAAUUACUGGGCGUAAAGGGCGCGCAGGCGGCCUGUUAAGUCAGUUGUGAAAGCCCGGGGCUCAACCCCGGAAGUGCGGCUGAAACUGGCGGGCUUGAGUAUGGGAGAGGGAAGUGGAAUUCCUGGUGUAGCGGUGAAAUGCGUAGAUAUCAGGAGGAACACCAGUGGCGAAGGCGACUUCCUGGACCAAUACUGACGCUGAGGCGCGAAGGCGUGGGGAGCAAACAGGAUUAGAUGCCCCAGUAGUC
rnacentral:rRNA from 1 species